rnacentral:RNase_P_RNA from 1 species
GCUACAAGCCAGGCUAUCGCUUCUUAUUUAUUUAGGAGGAGGAAAGUCCGGACAGCACAGAGCAAUGCACCGGUGAAUAGCCGGGUCUUGAGAAAUCAGGAACAGAUAGUGCCACAGAAAAUAACUACCCUCCUUCGCCAAGGCUACGGAGGGCAAGGGUGAAAACGUAGGGUAAGAGCCUACGGCUUUUGAUGGUAACAUCAUUUGCGGGUAAACCUUGCAUGCUGAAAUGCCACAUAUACCAUCGCCUGAGAACGGCUCGUUCGAUGAUGGAGGGUAGGCAGCUUGAUUCCGAUUGGUAACUUUCGGAACAGAUAAAUGAUAGCCCACGACAGAAUCCGGCUUACGGCUUGUAGCUUUU